rnacentral:rRNA from 1 species
CGUACCGCAAACCGACACAGGUAGGUAGGAAGAAGAUUCUAAGGCCAACGGGAGAAGGGUUGUUAAGGAACUCGGCAAGUUGACCCCGUAACUUCGGAAUAAGGGGUGCUCACGAGAGUGAGCCGCAGAGAAUAGGCCCAGGCGACUGUUUAGCAAAAACACAGGUCUCUGCCAAAUCGAAAGAUGAAGUAUAGGGGCUGACACCUGCCCGGUGCUGGAAGG